CAAUGCGCUCAAAUGCGCAGGGACCAAAAACGAAAUUAUUCCCAGCUUCAAAACGCAACAUUUGCGCCAAUUUCAGGGGAAAAAUUUAAAAAAACAAAGAACAUAGGGAAAGAUCAAAUUGAAUGCAAGCGCGAAAGGAGAGGGACUGAUUGCGCCAAUUCCCCAUUUUGAGCCAAAAGGGAUGGGUCCAGCACCAAACGGUGCUGUUUUAUUUUGCUGUUAAAAUCACUUUUUUUGUUUUAAACAUCAUUUUCACCUUUGCAUCUUUUAAAAAAAAAAAAAAACUAAAAACUUUCAAAGGCUCUCUCAUUUCUCUUCCCAUUUUUGUCAGACGCCGCCUCCAUCAAAGAUCCCACGUGCCAUGGUCGCCGACGGCACGAGCACGACUCCGGUAUGGCGACGUGAGGUAGUCGUGGGCGUGCCGACGUAGAGAGUAGCGCACGAGUCGGAGGGGCAACGUAUGGCGCUUGGAAACUGACUUGGCUGCAGUGGCUGAAGCAUUUAGGACUAAGGUUUUCUGCUUGGGUAGUGUUUUUUUAAUUUGGGUUUGAUUGAAUUGGGUUUGAGGGUUGAUAUUUGGGAUUGGGCCUGUGUAGUAUUUGGGCUGGACAAAAUUUGGGCCCUACAGUAGUCUUUCAUUGUAUAUAGUUUGAGUAUAAAAAGAUGGUUUAUGGAGUAGUAGGAGGGGUUUUUUUUAAAUGAACUGAGUUUGAUUAUUUGUCUCAGUUUUCUUACUGUUGUGUUGCUUUUAUAGAUAUCAUGUAAAUAGUAUCGAUGAUGAUUUUGUAUACACAAGCAGUUGGUACACAUGACUAAAGUUGAGGGUUAUGAUGUUACCGAAUUAAACAACAA